GUUGAAACACCGGAUCUCGUACGGCCACCGAAGUUAAGCAAGGCCGAGCCUGGUCAGUACAUAGAUGGGUGAUCGCUUAGACAUACCGCGUCGU